rnacentral:rRNA from 1 species
GCCUAGCCAUAAACUUUGAUUAUCCGCCAGAGUACUACGAGCUACAGCUUAAAACUCAAAGGACUUGGCGGUGCUUUAUACCCCCCUAGAGGAGCCUGUUCUAUAAUCGAUAAUCCCCGAUAAACCUCACCACCUAUUGCCAAUACAGCCUAUAUACCACCGUCUAGCCCGCCCUUCAAAGGGUAAACAGCAGGCAUAAUUAUAAACAUUAAAACGUCAGGUCAAGGUGUAGCAGAUAAGGUGGAAAGAAAUGGGCUACAUUUUCUAACUUAGAAAACACGGACGAUUCUAUGAAAUAGUCUCUGAAGGAGGAUUUAGCAGUAAAAAGAAAUUAGAGUGUUCUUUUUAAGACGGCAAUAAAGCGCGC